rnacentral:sRNA from 1 species
GUUGCCCGAGUCGCGCUGCGGGGGCCGAGAUGUCGUCCCGGCCUGGGCGCGAGGACGCGGCGCCUGCGGGCGCGCGGCGACCGCGUGAGCCGCCGGAGCAGGAGCUGCAGCGACGUCGGGAGCAGAAGCGGCGGCGGCACGACGCGCAGCAGCUGCAGCAACUCAAGCACCUGGAGUCCUUUUAUGAAAAACCUCCUCCUGGGCUUAUCAAGGAAGAUGAGACUAAGCCAGAAGAUUGCAUACCAGAUGUACCAGGCAAUGAACACGCCAGGGAAUUUCUGGCUCAUGCACCAACUAAAGGACUUUGGAUGCCACUGGGGAAAGAAGUCAAAGUUAUGCAGUGUGAGUGUGGGAGAGUUUCCCUAAUCCAUGCAACUUACAUGCCACAAUUUACAAAGAGUGUUUACUUCUUUAUUUAACUUGUUAUCACAGCCCUCUUAUAGCCAAGGCAUGUUCUCCAUCUCCUAGAUAAGGAAGCAUCCACCCCACCUCUCACCCCCAUGCCAUGUGAAGAAGAAAGAGGGCUGUCAU